GGCGGCGUGCUUACACAUGCAAGUCGAACGGUGAUGGCCAGCUUGCUGGUCGGAUCAGUGGCGAACGGGUGAGUAACACGUGAGUAACCUGCCCCAGACUCUGGGAUAAGCCUUGGAAACGAGGUCUAAUACUGGAUAUGAGAUGCCCCUGCAUGGGGAGUGUCUGGAAAGAUUUAUCGGUCUGGGAUGGACUCGCGGCCUAUUCAGCUUGUUGGUGGGGUAAUGGCCUACCAAGGCGACGAACGGGUUAGCCGGCCUGAGAAGGGUCGACCGGCCACACUUGGGAACUGAGAACACGGCCCAGAACUCCUACGGGAGGCAGCAGUGGGGAAUAUUGCACAAUUGGGCGCAAGCCUGAUGCAGCGACGCCGCGUGAGGGAUGAAGGCCUUCGGGUUGUAAACCUCUUUCAGCAGGAAGAAGCGCAAGUGACGGUACCUGCAGAAGAAGCGCCGGUAACUACGUUGCCAGCAGCCGCGGUAAUACGUAGGGCGCAAGCGUUGUUCCGGAAUAUUGGGCGUAAGAGCUCGUAGGCGGUUUGUCGCGUCUUGGUGUGAAAACCUCAAGGUCAACCUUGAGCUUGCAUCG
rnacentral:rRNA from 1 species